rnacentral:rRNA from 1 species
GAUGAACGCUGGCGGCGUGCCUAAUACAUGCAAGUCGAGCGAACAGACGAGGAGCUUGCUCCUCUGACGUUAGCGGCGGACGGGUGAGUAACACGUGGAUAACCUACCUAUAAGACUGGGAUAACUUCGGGAAACCGGAGCUAAUCCCGGAUAAUAUAUUGAACCGCAUUGUUCAAUAGUGAAAGACGGUUUUGCUGUCACUUAUAGAUGGAUCCGCGCCGCAUUAGCUAGUUGUUAAGGUAACGACUUACCAAGGCAACGAUGCGUAGCCGACCUGAGAGGGGGAUAGGCCACACUGGAACUGAGACACGGUCCAGACUACUACGGGAGGCAGCAGUAGGGAAUCUUACGCAAUGGGCGAAAGCUUGACGGAGCAACGCCGCGUGAGUGAUGAAGGUCUUCGGAUCGUAAAACUCUGUUAUUAGGGAAGAACAAAUGUGUAAGUAACUAUGCACGUAUUGACGGUACCUAAUCAGAAAGCCACGGCUAACUACGUG